rnacentral:tRNA from 1 species
GCAGAGGUAGUGAAGCGGUCAAACACGGCAGACUGUAAAUCUGUUGGCUUUCGCCUUCGGGGGUUCGAAUCCCUCCCUCUGCACCA